UGUCAGGUCCUCAAGUUAUGAGUUAGGACCAACGACUAUUAACUUGCAUUCACAUUAUCCUCACAGAACCAAGAGUGGCAAUGCUUUGGAGAAUAGCAGUCCAGCCUAGUUAACAUGGGGAAAGAUGACAACAUUGUAUGUAGUGUUGAACCUGAAGACAUCCUACAAUGAUUUCCCACACUCUAUUUUUCCUUAUGUUUGCUUAAAUAGCAAAAAUCAACACUAAAUGUCUAAAGGAAUUUGUAAUUUGAGACCUAGUAUUUUUACACAAUAAACCUGCUAAAACAGGCUUUAAAAGACAGCAAAAUAAGCCAUAUGUAGUGGUGUUAAGACUGUAAUCCCAGCACUCAGGAAGCUGAGACAGGAGAAUUGCCGGGAGUACAAAGUCAACCGGAGCUAAAUAAUAUCAGCCACCAGGACUACAUAACGAAAGAUUGCCACAGAGGAAAGGAAGGAAGAAAAAGCCAGCAAUCAACCAUCAUGUGUUUCUGUAGAAUCAGAUGUAAUAGGAAACAUAGUUUCAGAUUGCUUCUGACAAAGUCUGUGCCACAUUCCUCACAGCAGGUGUUACUCUUUAAGACCAUGAUAGUGGAGUAAGGGAAAGAGUGAGAUGUAGCGCUCUGGAUGCUUAAAAAGUAAGUGCUUGGAUUUAACCCUAAAGUGGUUUGAAAUUGGGAAGAAGUGUGACAGGAUACAGUUGGGCUAAUUAUGCAAUAUUUCAUCUGUUUAAUUUUCUAACUCUGUAUUGUUCCUAAAGACGGAUGAAUGAGUCUCUGUGGUGUUGCCUGCUCAUUGUGCAUACCCUUGGUAGACAUUUCUCAUAGUGUGUACUUAAAAAGUGCCUGACAUUGAUUUGUGUUGAUUUCUAAGUCCAUGUAAUAAAUGAUACAUGUUUUCUA
rnacentral:lncRNA from 1 species